GUUCACUGUGCUGAACUCUUGGCACUGGCUGGGUAUGGUUGGACAGUUAUGAAGAAGGAAAAUGAGAAGCACUUCUGUUGGGUGACAUGAAAUGCAUCUCAGGUUACCAGAAUAAAUGCGUGUGUCCUACAGCGUUGAUUCUGGGAGUGGAGCCUAUAAAGCUGGACCUCUGGUAAUGAUUUGGGGAGUAGUUCCCAGGUUUAUUGAGCUGGUGUAUUAGAUUUCCUGCUGCAUGAGCAAGAAGAUUAUGGUGGCUUACGUCUAAGUGUACUUUUGGGAGGCAUUUUGUAUUUUCUCUAUAAAUAGUCUUUCUAAAACACAAUUGUGAAACUAUUAAUGUUUAUAUCGCAUUAUACAUCUCUCUAAGUUUACUGUGCUGAGUAUACAGUGUGGUAGCAAGAGGAAAUCUUUUCGUCUAAGAAACAUGUUCAGAAUUGUCAUUGUUAAAAGGCUACUAAAAGGCAAGUUUGUUAUAUUUAUCUUUUUAUCUGUAGGGUGUUUUUGGCUUAUUACACUGAGUCAUUCCUGUUUUCAACAAUAGUAAAAUUACAUCUCUUAAGGAGUUAAGCUCUUCAAUAGAACUUAUAAAUGUUAAACUUCCAGCAGAAGUGUGGGCAUCCUGGCUAUUCCUUUUGUGUUGGAAAAAUGUCAAACGAGUCAAUUAUAAGCUCUUUACAGAUAAGCCUUGGACUUGGGACUGAGAGCAUGUGCACAGUAAAACUUGUAUUUUACACUGUAUAAACUUUUUUUUUCUUAAGAAAAAGAAUGCAUUUAUUAUGUAAUUUAAAGAAAAAAACAAUGGAAACAUCCUUCGUCCUAAGAUAAAUGGAAAAUAUAUUUAGGUGGAAGGAAGCAGAGGAAGUUUAUAUGUGUAUUAUAUUACUGAUGUAUAUUCUGUUUUGAGAAUAAUUUAAUGAGCAAUUUCUUCACGAUUUAUAAGAAGAUGCCACAGGCCUAACUCUGCAAGGUCCCUUGGAACCAUUUAUUCAUCCGUAUGUGAACAGCCAGUUUCAUUAUUUUUAAAAACAGAACAUGAAUGAAACAAAUGGUUAGUGUUGCUCUGUCCAGCAAAAUGAAAGAUUAUCAUCUCAAGCAGUGGCUGUCAGGUGGACCAGGUCCAGCUCUGCGUCCUCCUUGGGUUCAGAUGCAGGGUGACGUGCGGGUAAUCUGCAAUUUGCUGGGGCAUCGUUAGCUGGCUCUGCCUCCGGGGUAGGAUUUGAAGCAGGCCUGGAGCAGCUGUGUGCCAGGUGGGUUGGGGAGGGAUGCUCAAUGCCCCGCCAUCACCCGCUGGAGCUGGUGUCAAAGCCCCGGUGACAUGGAGGAGGCAUUAGGUCACAUGAGUUACAUUAAGUGGCAAGUGAUAAAUUCAAGAUGACAAUUCAAAACAGCGGUGUUUCUCCCAGUAAUUAAUUCCAGUGGUGCCUGAGGCAGUGCUUGGUUGCUACAACCAGUGUGGCCAAGGCUGAACAACUAAUGAGAAAACAUUACAGCAAGGAUUUAGGGGCCAGUGCAUUCUGGCAAGAUGAGGUCACUACGAUUAGAAAGUAUUAAUGCAGGUUUACUGUGAUAAACUAUGACAAAGAAACUUUGUGUUAUUUGUGAGUGGUUAAAAUGAAUUUUUUUUAGUCAUUAUUAUUAUUUUUUUCCCCCUCAAAAGGCUUUUACACGCUGCUUGGUCCAGUGGCACCAAGCACUGCCUUGGUACUGUCACAUGCAACCCAGGCCAAAGCUAGUUAGUUGCUGCAACCAGACACAAAUCCUUUCUUCCCUUUCAUUUGUUCUAAUUACUUUUGUCAGGUAAUAGUAAACACUCAGCUUAGAGGAAUGAGUUUUGCUGUUGUUACCUAAGAAUAGAAAGAAUGAUGAGAAAAUAACAUUUCCACAUUCAGCAUCCUCCUGCCCUCAGUCAGCAGUGGAGAUGUGGUUGCACAGUACUGGCUAGCAAAAGCCAAGCAAGCGCUUCCUAAAACUUCCACUGUCUUAGGUAUGAGGAAAGGCGGCCUAACAACAGAGUUUUAUAGGUACAGUCCUUCACUGCUGCUGCAGCAGCACAGGUUUGACUGAGUUAUUUGUGAAGAAAAAUCCACAGACAGUGGAACUUAAAUAAAAUAAAAAACUUUUCUGUGAGAUUUUCCCAGGCUGUUAACCCCCAUAGCUGCAGAUUUGCAUUAUGAAUAACUACAAGUGCUGUGUACUAUCUUAAUGGAAACCCAUGGGGUAUAAUGUGCUUAUUAAACGCUUUUACCAACAGACUUGAAAAAGUGCUCUGCUAAUUAUGAAGUAAUACUUAUAACUGUUUCAUGUUAAUUGAAAGGGUAUAGAUGAGAUGGACUACAUGUUGUGGCAUCUGCGUUUUUGUUGUCUAAAGCCUAACAGUUAUUUUCACGUUUUGCUUUGCUCUCUUGUUACCGUAUUUACGCAACAACCACUUUUCAUCUGAAAGCACUGCAAAUACUUCAGUACAAGUGCUUCCCUAGAGCAGAUAGAAACAGUAUUUAAUCAGAACAGUAAGACUUGAUCUAGUCCCAAAUGUCAAAUAAUAUAACUAACUAGCAAGCUUGUAACCAAAUCUUUAUAUUAUCUCAGAAAAUGUUUCAUGUACUAUGUACUAUUAAUGUUUGUACCCUACAUCUUAUAUUAAAGUACAUACCUUUAUCUUUUAAAACCAAUUAAAAAAAAAA